rnacentral:rRNA from 1 species
GCAUGCAAGUCGAGCGCGAACCCCGCAAGGGGGGAAAGCGGCGAAAGGGACAGUAACACGUAGAUUACCUACCCUCAGGUUCAGGAUAGCUGCGGGAAACUGCAGGUAAUACUGAAUGAUGUCUCCGGACCAAAGGUGUGAUUCCGCCGGAGGAUGGGUCUGCGUCCUAUUAGCUUGUUGGUGGGGUAACGGCCUACCAAGGCAAUGAUGGGUAGUGGGUGUGAGAGCACGACCCGCGUCACUGGGACUGAGAUACUGCCCAGACACCUACGGGUGGCUGCAGUCGAGGAUCUUCGGCAAUGGGCGCAAGCCUGACCGAGCGACGCCGCGUGCGGGAUGAAGGCCUUCGGGUUGUAAACCGCUGUCAGAGGGGAUGAAAUACAGGUGGGUUCUCCCAUCUGCUUGACAUAUCCUCAGAGGAAGUACGGGCUAAGUUCGUGCCAGCAGCCGCGGUAAGACGAACCGUACGAACGUUAUUCGGAAUCACUGGGCUUAAAGGGUGCGUAGGCUGCGCAGAAAGUUGGGUGUGAAAUCCCUCGGCUUAACCGAGGAACUGCGCCCAAAACUACUGUGCUCGAGGGAGACAGAGGUGAGCGGAACUUAGGGUGGAGCGGUGAAAUGCGUUGAUAUCCUAAGGAACACCGGUGGCGAAAGCGGCUCACUGGGUCUCUUCUGACGCUGAGGCACGAAAGCUAGGGUAGCGAACGGGAUUAGAUACCCCGGUAGUCCUAGCUGUAAACGAUGAGCACUGGGUUGAAGCCCCCCAUACUUUCAGCCGCAGCGAAAGUGUUGAGUGCUCCGCCUGGGGAUAUGGUCGCAAGGCUGAACUCAAAGGAAUUGACGGGGGCUCACACUAGCGGUGA